rnacentral:rRNA from 1 species
AUUGAACGCUGGCGGCAUGCUUUACACAUGCAAGUCGAACGGUAACAGGCCGCAAGGUGCUGACGAGUGGCGAACGGGUGAGUAAUGCAUCGGGACGUGCCCAGUCGUGGGGGAUAACGCAGCGAAAGCUGCGCUAAUACCGCAUACGAUCUAUGGAUGAAAGCGGGGGACCGUAAGGCCUCGCGCGAUUGGAGCGGCCGAUGUCAGAUUAGGUAGUUGGUGGGGUAAAGGCUCACCAAGCCAACGAUCUGUAGCUGGUCUGAGAGGACGACCAGCCACACUGGGACUGAGCCACGGCCCAGACUCCUACGGGAGGCAGCAGUGGGGAAUUUUGGACAAUGGGCGCAAGCCUGAUCCAGCAAUGCCGCGUGCAGGAAGAAGGCCUUCGGGUUGUAAACUGCUUUUGUACGGAACGAAACGGUCCUGGUUAAUACCUGGGGCUAAUGACGGUACCGUAAGAAUAAGCACCGGCUAACUACGUGCCAGCCGCCGCCGUAAGAC